rnacentral:rRNA from 1 species
UACGGGGGGGGGUAAGCGUUGUUCGGAAUUACUGGGCGUAAAGGGCUCGUAGGCGGCCAACUAAGUCAGACGUGAAAUCCCUCAGCUUAACUGGGGAACUGCGUCUGAUACUGGAUGGCUUGGAUCCGGGAGAGGGAUGCGGAAUUCCAGGUGUAGCGGUGAAAUGCGUAGAUAUCCGGAGGAACACCGGUGGCGAAGGCGGCUUCCUGGACCGACACUGGCGCUGAGGCGCGAAAGCUAGGGGAGCAAACGGG